rnacentral:rRNA from 1 species
AGCUCUGUAAGCGUAUAUCAAAGUUGUUGCAGUUAAAACGCUUGUAGUCGAAUCUUGGCUGAACUUACGCGGAGUGCGCAAGGAUUCUGAGGUUGAGGAAAGCCUUUGUGGAUUGUGUGCGCGGAGGUGUUUUAUUACACUUCCGUUGUACUGCCACCGUUUACUGUGAAAAAAUUAGAGUGUUCAAAGCAAGCGAUUUGCCCUGAAUACAUUAGCAUGGAAUAAUAGAAUAGGACCUGGUCUUAUUUUGUUGGUUUGUAUAAUUUCAGGUAAUGAUUAACAGGGACGGUUGGGGGCAUUUGUAUUCCGAGGCGAGAGGUGAAAUUCUUAGACCCUCGGAAGACAAACAGCUGCGAAAGCGUUUGCCAAGGACGUUUUCAUUGAUCAAGAACGAAAGUAC